UUGAAUAAACUUGGUUAGGUUGCUGCUGGCUCUUAGGAGCAUGUGCACGCCGACUCCAUCUUUAACCACCUGUGCACCUUGCGUAGAUAUGAAUAUUUCGAGGAAACUCGGUUUGAGAAUUGCUGUGCCCAACAGCCAGCUCUUCUUGUAUUCACGUCUACGUUUCUAUAUACCCCAUAUGAAUGUAUUCGAAUGUUGCAAUUGGCCUUGUGCCUUUAAAACAAAUA
rnacentral:misc_RNA from 1 species